CACUCUGCGUUGACCGAGAUUCCGUUGCUGUGGACAAUUACUGUAGCAGGGGAAUUUCGCCACCAACAGUACCUAUGAUAAUUCUCUCCCGUUAUCCUUCUCAAUAUUGGACAUCUCCCCCAGGUUGACUAACUUCGCAAUCAAUGGUCCUAAGGGGCUUGAGAAGCUCUGCAUUUCGAUUUCAGAGGGGGAUCCCACAUCUCUUUAUAAAUUGGAAAUCAAUGGGUGCUCUGAUCUUGUAUACAUCUAACUGCCCGCUCUUGAGUCGAUGUCCCAUUUGAUUCACAAUUGUUCCAAGCUCAGAUUGUUCGCGCAUACCCAUGCAUCUCUGUAGAACCCGAGUUUAGGGGAUUGUCGAGAAUUGUUGUUUCACAGAGAGGGCUUGCCUUCCAACCUAUGUGAACUUCAAAUCUAUAGCCGCAACCAACUCACAUCCCAGGUGGACUGGGAUUUGCAAAGACUGAGCUUUCUUACUCAUUUCACAAUCUUUGGUAGAUGUGAAGACGUGGAAUUAUUUCCCAAGGAGUGUCUGCUGCCCUCUUCUCUGACUUAUCUUUAUGUCUAUGGUCUUCCAAACCUCAAGUCUCUAGACAACAAGGGGCUUCAACACCUUGUCUCUCUAAAAAAAUUACGAAUACAGGACUGCCCAAGUCUCCAAUCCUUGACAGGAUCUGUUAUUCAACACCUUAUCUCUCUCAAAGAAUUACAAAUCUACUCGUGCCCAAGGCUCCAAUCCUUGACAGAAGCAGGUCUUCACCACCUCACCACUCUUGAAACCUUAGAUCUCUACAAGUGUCCUAAGCUCCAAUACUUGACAAAAGAGAGACUGCCAAACUCCCUCUUUUAUAUGUCUGUCUUCAAGUGUCCUUCACUAGAACAACAGUGCCAAUUUGAGAAAAGGAAAGAAUGGCCUUUUAUAUCUCACAUUCCAAAAAUAGUGAUCGAUGAUGUGCUAUUUUAAUGAAAGUGGCACUGCCCAACAUAUCGGCAGCUUCAAGCCUAGGACAAAUGUUAUUCGAAGGCCGUAGAUGAGGAUUCAACCUAGGUGCUGACAUUUUGACACAGACAAUUCAGAUCAUAUUUUAAUGGCAUGGAGAAAACCGUGGAUGCAUUCUAGCUACCUGCUUAUUGGUAGGUAAUUUUAAUUACUUAUGAUUCUGAUGUCCCUUUUUUUUAUAUUCUCAA